CCUACGGGUGGCAGCAGUAGGGAAUCUUUCACAAUGGGCGAAAGCCUGAUGGAGCAACGCCGCGUGCAGGAUGAAGGCCUUCGGGUUGUAAACUGCUUUUUUAAGCGAGAAAUAUGAUGGUAACUUAUGAAUAAGGAUCGGCUAACUACGUGCCAGCAGCGGCGGUCAUACGUAGGAUGCGAGCGUAAUCCGGAUUUGUGGGGUUUUAAGGGUGGGUAGUCGGGCUGUUAAGUCAGCGUUAAAAGCCCGGGGCUCAACCCCGACGAGGAGUUGAAACUGGCUGUCUUGCGAUGUCGAGAGGUAGGCGGAAUGCGCAGUGUAGCGGUGAAAUGCUUAGAUAUUGCGCAGAACUCCGAUUGCGAAGGCAGCAUACCGGCGGCGAUCUGACGCUGAGGCACGAAAGCGUGGGUAUCGAACAGGAGUAGAUACCCGUGUAGUC
rnacentral:rRNA from 1 species